rnacentral:rRNA from 1 species
UCAAACACCACCACGAUGCCCGCCAGAAGACUACGAGUGAAAAACUCAAAACUCAAAGGACUUGACGGUGUCCCACAUCAACCUAGAGGAGCCUGUCCUAUAAUCGAUACUCCACGCUUCACCUUACCCCCUCUUGUAGAUCCAACCUAUAUACCGCCGUCGUCAGCUCACCUCGUAAGAGCCCCCACUGUGAGCCCCAAAGCCCCUCGCUCUCACGCCAGGUCAAGGUGUAGUCCAUGGGGGGGGCAGCGAUGGGCUACAUUUUCUAACCUAGAUCACACCCACGCACACAUGAAACAUCUGCCAAAAGGCGGAUUUAGCAGUAAGCACAGCAAGCAUGCUCACCUGAACCCCGCCCUGGGACGCGCACACACCGCCCGUCACCC